rnacentral:lncRNA from 1 species
AGAAAACAGAUUUUCUUACUCCUUAUAUAACUAGAAAACAGAUUUUCUUACUUCUUAAGCAAUUGCUUAUUUCCUUCCCCCCCCCUAAAUCAUACCUUAAUUUGCCGGGUUGGAUAUGAACAAACACGUGGCCAGAAAAUGUUGAAGGAUUUUUCAAGAAAAGGAAAAUUCCAAAGCGUAACCCCGCCAAGCAAUUUUCGUUACUUCCAACUUUAACCUUCGUUUUGACCAAAAAAAAAAAAACUUUAACCUUCGUUUACAACCUCAUCCCGCACGUCCGCGGACUUUUCUUUUUUCUUUCUUUUUUUUUAGGGGGGGAUCAUAUGCGCGUCGACAAUUCAUCGAAUCGGAUCGCAGGCGGGCCAGCACGCGGCGGGGCUAAUCGCGGGCCGCCACGUGUGGGAGCGACGGUGAGCCGCGGCCACGGUUAGGCAACUGCCGCGAGAGUGCGCCAGUCGCUUUCGUCAGAACAUUGACUUUCCGGCUUGGCGUCCGCGUUCCUCCCUCCGCCCCUCCGGAAUAAACUCCUCCCACCAUCCAACGGGAGUUCAGGUUUCCUAACACAACUCAACAACAACAACAACACCAACACCAACACCAACGCACUCUCUCUCUCUCUCUCUAUAGAAAAUAUCAUUCGCGAGCAGCUGCUCUUCCGACCAUUCCUUUUCUCUCUCUAGAGCUCAAUGGCGAUCGCGCAGAGGUGAUCGCGCAGAGAGAGAGAGAGAGAGAGAGAGAGAGAGAGAGGGGGAAGGAGGAG